AACUUUCAACAACGGAUCUCUUGGUUCUGGCAUCGAUGAGGAACGCAGCGAAAUGCGAUAAGUAAUGCGAAUUGCAGAAUCCGUGAGUCAUCGAAUCUUUGAACGCACAUUGCGCCCUUUGGUAUUCCGAAGGGCAUGCCUGUUCGAGCGUCAUUAUCACCCCUCAAGCUCCGGCUUGGUGUUGGGCUCCAGGUGGUUUUACCCAAACUGCCGGCCUCAAAGAUAGUGACGGCGUCCCAGAGGGAACCGGUACGAGGAGCUUUUAACCGAGCAUGUACGCGGGACGACUCUGCGGGCGGACGGUCUUUAUACAUAAACUUAUUUACAAGUGUUGACCUCGGAUCAGGUAGGAAUACCCGCUGAACUUAAGCAUAUCAAUAAGCGGAGGCU
rnacentral:misc_RNA from 1 species